UGUUGCUUUUCCACAUGUGGAUUCACAACAUGCUCCUCUGCUUCAUGCUGGAAUUAGUGGAUAAACCCAGACUAUGAGAUGGUUCGGCAGGAGGCAGUGUCGGUACGAAUCUCACGGAAAGACGAAGCAGGUGAAGCAAGAUGACUAAUGGUUGGUCUAUACAGAUCACAUCAUCCAUCCGGUCAUCUCUUUGAAUGCUGUGAGAUAACCACAAGAUAAUUUGGACAAAGAGG